GUGGCAAGCGUUGUCCGGAUUUAUUGGGCGUAAAGCGAGCGCAGGCGGAAAGAUAAGUCUGAUGUGAAAGCCCCCGGCUUAACCGGAGAAUUGCAUCAGAAACUGUUGAACUUGAGUGCAGAAGAGGAGAGUGGAACUCCAUGUGUAGCGGUGGAAUGCGUAGAUAUAUGGAAGAACACCAGUGGCGAAGGCGGCUCUCUGGUCUGUAACUGACGCUGAGGCUCGAAAGCAUGGGUAGCGAACA
rnacentral:rRNA from 1 species